GGAAUGGAUACCCAGCGGGAAGCUGGGCAAGCCUCCGGUUCUGGCCAUUGAAUCGAUCCUUCCAAGACGCUCGCGAUAAUGUAUCUGUUAUUCCCGGCGAGAAACUUGAGUCAGUUCAGCAAGUUCCUAGAGCAAAUCUGAUGUGGAUGGUUGGCCUGAACUCCAGGGGACAAACAUUAAAGAUAGAACAGCUCGCUGCCAGCAGAGCACCCAGCCUUGCGAGACGUGAUGUGGUCUCACACGCUGAUGCUGAACAUGGGUGUCAAAAGGACUCAAGCCCUGCACAAAAGGACCAACUCUCCUUGUUAGGAAGAAGCACAAGAUUUGUGGGCACAACUGCUGUCAUUCCCACCUAUUUUUGUUCCCCAUUUCCAUAUCGUCUCCUGCAUCUCUGCUGCAACAUCAGGGAGCUGUUCUCGUGCAGAGUCUAGACAGAUAGCACAUAUUGGAAUUAGCAUGAGGAAUUUGGAACGAGGUUUGUUUACCAGCCUGCAGUUCUAUGUCCUUAUCUGAACCAAGCUGCUCACGCUUCUGAGCAUUGCUUCAGGCAUUGCUGCUCAUCACAAAGUUCUCCCUCCAGACGAGGCACAUUGCUCUCAAUUUAUAAGUUACCAAACACAUUUGAAAUGGAACAAUAUUGGAACAGGCUAACAAAAGAAGUACAACAACUAUUCAAGGUUUCACAAUUCAGCUCACUUACUUUCUUCAAAAGGAAGGUUAGAGAGGAAUACGUUGAUGUUCUUGCAUGUCUAUUUGAGCAGAAGAGGAUAAGGGCUAUUGGAACCAGAUAAAAUACAAGAUUCAGCAGCUGAAACUGUAAAAAUUCAGGUUAGAACUCAGAAGUGUAUUUUUUCAGAGUGAAGGUAAACCAUUUAGCCAGCCAAUACACAAUCACUGACUGUCACUUGAAGCCUUCAAUUCAGCAUUGGAUAUUCUUCAAAAAUACAUUUUCUAUGAUCCCACACAGAUCCUGAAGAACCAUACAAAACACAGAUUGACGAUCUGCAAGCUGAAUUGUGCAAACAACCUGACUAGAUGAUUUUAACCUUUUUGUCCUUCACAAUUUAAAAAUACUUUGUAUUUUAGUACUGAGCAUGUGAACAAUUCCUUUUUUCUUUACUAAUUUUAUUGACUGCAACAGGAGAACUGAAUGGCUUGAAUUUGAGCAUGGGAUUAUGUCUUAUACUGACACAAGACCACUGUUAGAAUUGUAGGAGGUUACAGAUGUCAUUCUCUAAGUAAAGUUGAUCAUACAGCAGCUAAAACUCCUAUAGCUCUCUCAAGAAGAACAGGGAACAUUGCCCAGCUCUCGAUGACUCUCAGGAAACCCUCUUUAGAGAUGUGGAUCUGCCUAACAGCUGAAAGUAAGCCACUCUGUACAGGAUCUAUUAUAAUC